UUAAUAGCUCAGUUGGUAGAACAUGAGACUUUAAAUCUCAGGGUUGUGGGUCUAAGCCCCACUUUGGGCAAAA